UUCUAUCCGAGUUCCGAGGUCUAUUUUGCAUCAUUGCUGUUCUAAAUUGUUGUUACCUUCCAAAGCCAAUUUCCUUGGUUAUUCACCAUCUAAGCCUUGUUCAACCAUCUGGAGUUUUGGAUAAAUGAGUCCUGCUGCCAACUUAUUCUAUCUAGGGCAUAUACUUUAGUAUGUUACUUCAAUUACUUUUAAAAAUGGUGUGCGAGUUAUUAAUCCUUACGAUGCUUAAGCGAGCUUUGCUUCUCAGACAUGUGAAGAUAUCAUUAAAGAAAUGUGACUUGACUUUGGUCGUUAUAAGUAUAUUGUCCUAGUUCUCAAAAUCCUUUUCUUUGUUAUAGCGCAUGAAGAAAAACAGAGAUCCGAGAUGGGAAGAAGAGUUUACAUUUACACUGCCGGAACCACCAAUUAAUGAUAAAUUACAUGUGGAAGUAAUCACCAGAUCAUCAAGAAAUUUACUUCAUCCUAAGGAACUCUUGGCUAUGUUGACAUUAGCCUUGGAGAUGUUGUCAGCAGCAGACGGAUCAAUGAGAAAUAUCACCUCAUUGAUUCCAGGAAUGGAAAAAUCCAAAUUGAAUUGCAAUGGAGAACAUCUUGAAGAUACUACUACUCCCUUUGACCCAGACCUUGUUGAGUUUGGUGAUGUGUAGACUUGGAAGAUUUUUUUUUUUAGACUAUAUUGUAAUUGUUUGUGAAUAUGAGCAGAAAUAAUAUCAAAAUGGGAUCACCGUACAUAUCGGGUUCCCUCCUAGGCUCC